rnacentral:rRNA from 1 species
UACGAGGGGAGCAAGCGUUGUUCGGAUUUACUGGGCGUAAAGGGCGCGUAGGCGGCCACGACAAGUCACUUGUGAAAUCUCCGGGCUUAACCCGGAACGGUCAAGUGAUACUGUCGGGCUAGAGUACAGUAGGGGCAACUGGAAUUCUCGGUGUAGCGGUGAAAUGCGUAGAUAUCGAGAGGAACACCUGCGGCGAAGGCGGGUUGCUGGGCUGAUACUGACGCUGAGGCGCGAAAGCCAGGGGAGCGAACGGG